ACGUAGGGUGCAAGCGUUAAUCGGAAUUACUGGGCGUAAAGCGUGCGCAGGCGGCUUUAUAAGACAGGCGUGAAAUCCCCGGGCUUAACCUGGGAACUGCGCUUGUGACUGUAAGGCUAGAGUUUGUCAGAGGGGGGUGGAAUUCCACGUGUAGCAGUGAAAUGCGUAGAGAUGUGGAGGAACACCGAUGGCGAAGGCAGCCCCCUGGGAUAAAACUGACGCUCAGGCACGAAAGCGUGGGGAGCAAACAGGAUUAGAUACCCUGGUAGUCCACGCCCUAAACGAUGUCGACUAGUUGUCGGGGAUUAACUUCCUCGGUAACGCAGCUAACGCGUGAAGUCGACCGCCUGGGGAGUACGGUCGCAAGAUUA
rnacentral:rRNA from 1 species